CCCUUAGAUGUUCUGGGCCGCACACGCGCUACACUGAAGGAGGCAGCGUGUACUCCUGGAUCGAAAGAUUUGGGUAACCCGCGAAUCUCCUUCGUGCUAGGGAUUGAGGUUUGCAAUUAUCCUUCAUGAACGAGGAAUUCCCAGUAAGUGCAAGUCAUAAGCUUGCGCUGACUACGUCCCUGCCCUUUGCACACACCGCCCGUCGCUACUACCGAUUGAAUGAUUUAGUGAGGACUUCGGACUGGGACCGAUGCGGCUUUCGGGCUGCGUCGGUAUUCUGGAAAGAUGUCCAAACUGUAUCAUUUAGAGGAAGUAAAANUCGUANCA
rnacentral:rRNA from 1 species